rnacentral:rRNA from 1 species
GAUGAACGCUCGCGAUAGGCUUAACACAUGCAAGUCGAGGGGCAGCAUGGUCUUAGCUUGCUAAGACUGAUGGCGACCGGCGCACGGGUGCGUAACGCGUAUGCAACUUGCCUCACAGAGGGGGAUAACCCGUCGAAAGACGGACUAAUACCGCGUACACUUGGGAUAGGGCAUCCUGACCCAAGGAAAUGAAAUUCGCUGUGAGAUAGGCAUGCGUCCCAUUAGCUAGUUGGUGAGGUAACGGCUCACCAAGGCGACGAUGGGUAGGGGAACUGAGAGGUUGAACCCCCACACUGGUACUGAGACACGGACCAGACUCCUACGGGAGGCAGCAGUGAGGAAUAUUGGUCAAUGGGCGAGAGCCUGAACCAGCCAAGUCACGUGAAGGAUGACUGUCUUAUGGAUUGUAAACUUCUUUUAGACGGGAAUAACAAGAGCCACGUGUGGCUCCCUGCAUGUACCGUAUGAAUAAGCAUCGGCUAACUCCGUG